GCCUCGUACUGUGCGGAGGUUUGUUACUUCAGCUACCUAAGUUUUUAUCUUUUUUAUCAAGUGUUUUUUCUUCAAUUCAGUGUUUAAUUUAAUUGUUUUUUUAAAAAGAAAUUCGUAGUGAAAAAAGACGUAACAAUAGAAAAUAAGCGAAAUUGGCAAUUUUUGUCAAGAGGUUCCAUGAAUAAUCAAGAUCAAGAAAGAAAUUUUUUACGAUUCAUCCAGGAAUCGUGCAAUAAUCGGCGUCUAGGAACAUUCACGGACUUCCUUAAAGAAUAAGGACUAUGGACAAUAUGCUGAUCACAAAACUUCGCAGCAUCUUUCCCUCAGUCUAUAUGGAAUCAACAAAAAUUGGUGCUUCUUCUUCCGAAGUGAAUCAUCAGGUUUUUAAGGAUUUCUUCGUCACUACAAUGAUCACUGGUAUAAGAUUCUAUCCUCGAUGGCAAAAGUAAAAAAGGGUAUCUUAUCUUGAAGUACAGAUGAAUCUUCAUGUUAAUAUAUACAAAUACAGAAGAAAUCAAGAAGAAAAUGAUCACUGUUUUUUCAAAGUAACCAGUAGUCGAUUUCGAGUGAGCGCACUAUUCCUAUUUUUCUUCGACGACAACUAUCUUGAAGCAUCAAAAGCAAUUCCUGUCUUUUCUCUCUCUCUCUCUCUCUCUCUCUCUCUCUCUUUUUUCGAGAGAGGAACACACGAUUCCAGACAAGAGUAAACGAGUUGGUGGGAGAGAGGGAUUGAUGCUGUUCACUGUGAGGCUUAUUGUGAUCUACUAUAUGUACGUGCGGGAGUCAAAAGGCAGCUUGGUGACAUAUGUCAUUAUGUCAAAAGCGUGUUUUUUUUAGUUUUACAUUAUACGGGAGUGUUCGAACCUAGUGAAAGUGACGGUCGCUUAUUAUAUAUAUAAUGUAAAAUAUUUUUUUUUAUUAUUCUCGUUAUACAGCGUAUACGGAUACCGCUGUACGUGUCGCGACGGAUUUAAAAUCUAUUAGCUUCGGGAGUGUUCGACAUUUUUAUAAUCGCGAACGAAAUUUUCUUAGGGUGUGUUUCAAAAUUCGUUUUCGUUGUUUGUCUUUCGUUAUAUAUAUAUAUACAAGACAACUCGUUACGUGCGCGCGUCCGAAUUACAAUUUAAAUCGCGAUCGUAUUUUUGCGCGAAUAUUAAAAGUUUAUUUUAAA